rnacentral:ncRNA from 1 species
ACUCUAGUCCGGCAUUGUAAGGCGAUAUAAGAGGUGCAGAAUAAGUGGGAGCCGGGGUAAACCACUAUCUCCCCGGCACCAAUGAGAUACCACCACUCUUACUGUUGCCUUACAUGAUCAGGUGGAACAAGUGCCAAGGUUAUUGCAACCUCCUGGCAUAAGGUUUCUUGUUCAGCGUUCAGUCAUGUCGUCAUUCCUGGCCACAAGGCAGCGUGUGGGCCACGGCCGCAGUUUUGCUCAACUUUCACACCGUACGCCGAUGACAGUAAGACAUCUGGAUACUCCAAGUCAUGGACAGUGCCAGGUGCGGAGUUUGACUGGGGCAGUACAUCUCCAAAACAAUAACGGAGGAACAAUUUUGUGUCUUCAGAACUUUUAUUAAUCAAUGUACUGCCCAUACUCGCAUAACAGUCCCAUUUAUAUAUGAAA